GACGAGCGCUGGUGGCGCGCCUAACACAUGCAAGUCGAACGGAGCUGUUUUCUCUGAAGUUUUCGGAUGGAAGAGAGUUCAGCUUAGUGGCGAACGGGUGAGUAACACGUGAGCAACCUGCCUUUCAGUGGGGGACAACAUUUGGAAACGAAUGCUAAUACCGCAUAAGACCACAGUGUCGCAUGGCACAGGGGUCAAAGGAUUUAUCCGCUGAAAGAUGGGCUCGCGUCCGAUUAGCUAGAUGGUGAGGUAACGGCCCACCAUGGCGACGAUCGGUAGCCGGACUGAGAGGUUGAACGGCCACAUUGGGACUGAGACACGGCCCAGACUCCUACGGGAGGCAGCAGUGGGGAACAUUGCACAAUGGGGGAAACCCUGAUGCAGCGACGCCGCGUGGAGGAAGAAGGUCUUCGGAUUGUAAACUCCUGUCCCAGGGGACGAUAAUGACGGUACCCUGGGAGGAAGCACCGGCUAACUACGUGCCAGCAGCCGCGGUAAAACGUAGGGUGCAAGCGUUGUCCGGAAUUACUGGGUGUAAAGGGAGCGCAGGCGGAUUGGCAAGUUGGGAGUGAAAUCUAUGGGCUCAACCCAUAAAUUGCUUUCAAAACUGUCAGUCUUGAGUGGUGUAGAGGUAGGCGGAAUUCCCGGUGUAGCGGUGGAAUGCGUAGAUAUCGGGAGGAACACCAGUGGCGAAGGCGGCCUACUGGGCACUAACUGACGCUGAGGCUCGAAAGCAUGGGUAGCAAACAGGAUUAGAUACCCUGGUAGUCCAUGCCGUAAACGAUGAUUACUAGGUGUGGGAGGAUUGACCCCUUCCGUGCCGCAGUUAACACAAUAAGUAAUCCACCUGGGGAGUACGACCGCAAGGUUGAAACUCAAAGGAAUUGACGGGGGCCCGCACAAGCAGUGGAGUAUGUGGUUUAAUUCGAAGCAACGCGAAGAACCUUACCAGGUCUUGACAUCGGAUGCAUACCUAAGAGAUUAGGGAAGUCCUUCGGGACAUCCAGACAGGUGGUGCAUGGUUGUCGUCAGCUCGUGUCGUGAGAUGUUGGGUUAAGUCCCGCAACGAGCGCAACCCUUAUCGUUAGUUACUACGCAAGAGGACUCUAGCGAGACUGCCGUUGACAAAACGGAGGAAGGUGGGGAUGACGUCAAAUCAUCAUGCCCCUUAUGACCUGGGCUACACACGUACUACAAUGGCUAUUAACAGAGAGAGGCGAUACCGCGAGGUGGAGCAAACCUCACAAAAAUAGUCUCAGUUCGGAUCGCAGGCUGCAACCCGCCUGCGUGAAGCCGGAAUUGCUAGUAAUCGCGGAUCAGCAUGCCGCGGUGAAUACGUUCCCGGGCCU
rnacentral:rRNA from 1 species